AUGGCUACAUGAUGACCCACCCCAACUUGAACCUUCUCACUGAUUCCUUGAUGGUACUGCGAUCUGAUGUUCCG